UACGGGGGGGGGCAAGCGUUUGUUCGGAAUUACUGGGCGUAAAGGGCUCGUAGGUGGCCAACUAAGUCAGACGUGAAAUCCCUCGGCUUAACCGGGGAACUGCGUCUGAUACUGGAUGGCUUGAGUUUGGGAGAGGGAUGCGGAAUUCCAGGUGUAGCGGUGAAAUGCGUAGAUAUCUGGAGGAACACCGGUGGCGAAGGCGGCAUCCUGGACCAACACUGACGCUGAGUGAGCGAAAGCCAGGGGAGCAAACGGG
rnacentral:rRNA from 1 species